rnacentral:rRNA from 1 species
GACAGAGGUGCCAAGCGUUAGGCGGAAUCACUGGGCUUAAAGCGUGUGUAGGCGGGUCGUUAAGUGUCUUGUGAAAUCCCCCGGCUCAACCGGGGAAUGGCUGGGCAUACUGGCGAUCUUGAGCAGUCUAGGGGCAGAUGGAACAGACGGUGGAGCGGUGAAAUGCGUAGAUAUCGUCUGGAACGCCAAAGGUGAAAACAGUCUGCUGGGGACUUGCUGACGCGUGAGACACGAAAGCCAGGGGAGCGAACGGG